rnacentral:rRNA from 1 species
UUUCCCGGUGGGUGUACGACUUAAACGGGGGCAAAUGCGUCCAAAGGUAGCUAAAUACUGGACCAGUAAUUGUUCAUACAUUAAAAGGGCUGACGAGUCUCUAACUGUCUCUAUUUAACUCGUUGGAAAUUUAGUUGGAAGUGCAAACGCUUUCAUGGGUGAGAAAGACGAGAAGACCCUAUGAAGUUUGUGUGAGGGCAGAAGGCUUUUGCUGGGGCAGCAGGAGAGCAGAAUGAGACUCGACCGAUACUGAUAAGUAUGAUCCAUUAGAGACGAUCAGGAGAAGGAGUUACUCUAGGGAUAACAGCGUAAUUGCCCAUUGAGGCCUUAUCAUUGGGCAAGGUUGCGACCUCGAUGUUGGCUCUGGGUAUCCUUGGACUUAGGAGGUCCAAAUGGUUGGUUUG